UUGUGGUGUGUAGUGGGCUGGUGUAAUAGUGGUUUGGGUCUGGUAAUUCCUUGUAUUUUACAGAAACCACUACAUGCCUGAGAUGACCCGUUAACACCUCGCCCCGCCCCCACCUUCCUGGCCUGCCCGCCCCCUGGCAUAAAUUGAACACAGGCUGGGGAAGGAGACGGUGGCUGAGUGGUUAGCGUGCCGGUCCUGCGUUCGCCGCAUCAUGGAUGAGGAGGGUUUGAAUCCACUGCUGCCACAGGCUACUUGUCCUGAAGACCACCACCAUCAUCCUGGACUGUAUGGGACUGUCCAAGGGAAAGCAAGAUGGGGCCGCUAUAAACACUUGCCGGCUUGGGCCCACCACCAGGCCCAGCCAAGGGAGGUUGGUGUAGCAGUGCCGGGAGGUGCCAUAACACAGGGCACUCCUCACCUCAACAACAGUCUCUUCACCGACAAGUAAUUCUUCACCAACAAGCUUUUCAGCAGCCUGGAGAAAUAGACACUACCAAACGAAGAAGAGGAGGAGGAGGAGGAGGACUGGGAAGAAGACGAGGAACACAGGAGGAACCCAUUGAGAGAACAAGAAGAAGAAGAAGAAGAAGAAGAGGAGGAGGACACAGGAAUUCCUUGGUUGGUGUAGCAGUGCCGGGAGGUGCCAUAACACAGGGCACUCCUCACCUCAACAACAGUCUCUUCACCGACAAGUAAUUCUUCGCCAACAAGCUUUUCAGCAGCUUGGAGAAAUAGACACUACCAAACGAAGAAGAGGAGGAGGAGGAGGACUGGGAAGAAGACGAGGAACACAGGAGGAACCCAUUGAGAGAACAAGAAGAAGAAGAAGAAGAAGAGGAGGAGGACACAGGAAUUCCUUGGUUGGUGUAGCAGUGCCGGGAGGUGCCAUAACACAGGGCACUCCUCACCUCAACAACAGUCUCUUCACCGACAAGUAAUUCUUCGCCAACAAGCUUUUCAGCAGCUUGGAGACAUAGAGGAAGAAGAGGAGGAAGAAGAAGAGAAGAUGAAGAGGAAGAAGAGGAGGAGGAGGAUAAGGACUUGAGGAAGAAGAGGAGGAAGAAGAAGAGAAGAUGAAGAGGAAGAAGAGGAGGAGGAGGAUAAGGACUUGGUUGGUGUAGCAGUGCUGGGAGGUGCCAUAACACAGGGCACUCCUCACCUCAACAACAGUCUCUUCACCGACAAGUAAUUCUUCACCAACAAGCUUUUCAGCAGCUUGGAGAAAUAGAGGAAGAAGAGGAGGAAGAAGAAGAGAAGAUGAAGAGGAAGAAGAGGAGGAGGAGGAUAAGGACUUGGUUGGUGUAGCAGUGCUGGGAGGUGCCAUAACACAGGGCACCUCACCUCAACAACAGUCUCUUCACCGACAAGUAAUUCUUCACCAACAAGCUUUUCAGCAGCUUGGAGAAAUAGAGGAAGAAGAGGAGGAAGAAGAAGAGAAGAUGAAGAGGAAGAAGAGGAGGAGGAGGAUAAGGACUUGGUUGGUGUAGCAGUGCUGGGAGGUGCCAUAACACAGGGCACUCCUCACCUCAACAACAGUCUCUUCACCGACAAGUAAUUCUUCACCAACAAGCUUUUCAGCAGCUUGGAGAAAUAGACACUACCAAACGAAGAAGAGGAGGAGGAGGAAGAAGAAGACGAGGAACACAGGAGGAGCCCAUUGAGACAAGAAGAAGAAGAAGAGGAAGAGGAAGACUGACAGACAGAC